rnacentral:rRNA from 1 species
GACGAACGCUGGCGGCGUGCUUAACACAUGCAAGUCGAACGGAAAGGCCCUGCUUUUGUGGGGUGCUCGAGUGGCGAACGGGUGAGUAACACGUGAGUAACCUGCCCUUGACUUUGGGAUAACUUCAGGAAACUGGGGCUAAUACCGGAUAGGAGCUCCUGCUGCAUGGUGGGGGUUGGAAAGUUUCGGCGGUUGGGGAUGGACUCGCGGCUUAUCAGCUUGUUGGUGGGGUAGUGGCUUACCAAGGCUUUGACGGGUAGCCGGCCUGAGAGGGUGACCGGCCACAUUGGGACUGAGAUACGGCCCAGACUCCUACGGGAGGCAGCAGUGGGGAAUAUUGCACAAUGGGCGGAAGCCUGAUGCAGCAACGCCGCGUGCGGGAUGACGGCCUUCGGGUUGUAAACCGCUUUCGCCUGUGACGAAGCGUGAGUGACGGUAAUGGGUAAAGAAGCACCGGCUAACUACGUGCCAGCAGCCGCGGUGAUACGUAGGGUGCGAGCGUUGUCCGGAUUUAUUGGGCGUAAAGGGCUCGUAGGUGGUUGAUCGCGUCGGAAGUGUAAUCUUGGGGCUUAACCCUGAGCGUGCUUUCGAUACGGGUUGACUUGAGGAAGGUAGGGGAGAAUGGAAUUCCUGGUGGAGCGGUGGAAUGCGCAGAUAUCAGGAGGAACACCAGUGGCGAAGGCGGUUCUCUGGGCCUUUCCUGACGCUGAGGAGCGAAAGCGUGGGGAGCGAACAGGCUUAGAUAUCCUGGUAGUCCACGCUGUAAACGGUGGGUACUAGGUGUGGGGUCCAUUCCACGGGUUCCGUGCCGUAGCUAACGCUUUAAGUACCCCGCCUGGGGAGUACGGCCGCAAGGCUAAAACUCAAAGGAAUUGACGGGGCCCCGCACAAGCGGCGGAGCAUGCGGAUUAAUUCGAUGCAACGCGUAGAACCUUACCUGGGUUUGACAUGGAUCGGGAGCGCUCAGAGAUGGGUGUGCCUCUUUUGGGGUCGGUUCACAGGUGGUGCAUGGCUGUCGUCAGCUCGUGUCGUGAGAUGUUGGGUUAAGUCCCGCAACGAGCGCAACCCUUGUUCACUGUUGCCAGCACGUUAUGGUGGGGACUCAGUGGAGACCGCCGGGGUCAACUCGGAGGAAGGUGGGGAUGACGUCAAGUCAUCAUGCCCCUUAUGUCCAGGGCUUCACGCAUGCUACAAUGGCUGGUACAGAGAGUGGCGAGCCUGUGAGGGUGAGCGAAUCUCGGAAAGCCGGUCUCAGUUCGGAUUGNGGUCUGCAACUCGACCUCAUGAAGUCGGAGUCGCUAGUAAUCGCAGAUCAGCAACGCUGCGGUGAAUACGUUCCCGGG